rnacentral:rRNA from 1 species
AUUGAACGCUGGCGGCAGGCCUAACACAUGCAAGUCGAGCGGAUGAGAGGAGCUUGCUCCUCGAUUCAGCGGCGGACGGGUGAGUAAUGCCUAGGAAUCUGCCCAGUAGUGGGGGACAACGUUUCGAAAGGAACGCUAAUACCGCAUACGUCCUACGGGAGAAAGUGGGGGAUCUUCGGACCUCACUCUAUUGGAUGAGCCUAGGUCGGAUUAGCUAGGUGGUAGGGUAAUGGCCGACCAAGGGGACGAUCCGUAACUGGUCUAGGAGGAUGAUCAGUCACACUGGAACUGAGACGCGGUCCAGACUCCUACGGGAGGCAGCAGUGGGGAAUAUUGGACAAUGGGCGCAAGCCUGAUCCAGCCAUGCCGCGUGUGUGAAGAAGGCCCUCGGGUCGUAAAGCACUUUAAGUUGGGAGGAAGGGCUUACAGCGAAUACCUGUGAGUUUUGACGUUACCGACAGAAUAAGCUCCGGCUAACUUCGUGCCAGCCGCCGCCGUAA